rnacentral:rRNA from 1 species
GUGGAAGGGCCAUCGCUCAACGGAUAAAAGCUACCCUGGGGAUAACAGGCUUAUCUCCCCCAAGAGUCCACAUCGACGGGGAGGUUUGGCACCUCGAUGUCGGCUCAUCACAUCCUGGGGCUGUAGUAGGUCCCAAGGGUUGGGCUGUUCGCCCAUUAAAGUGGUACGCGAGCUGGGUUCAGAACGUCGUGAGACAGUUCGGUCCCUAUCCGUCGCAGGCGUAGGAAAUUUGAGAAGACCUGUCCUUAGUACGAGAGGACCGGGAUGGACGUACCUCUGGUGUACCAGUUGUCCUGCCAAGGGCAUGGCUGGGUAGCUAUGUACGGAAUGGAUAAGCGCUGAAAGCAUCUAAGCGCGAAGCCAACUUCAAGAUAAGAUUUCCCACCGCAAGGGUAAGACCCCAGAAAGACUAUCUGGUUGAUAGGUCGAAGGUGUAAGUGCAGCAAUGUAUUUAGCUUAUCGAUACUAAUAGGUCGAGGACUUGACCAAU